AAAGGAAUUGACGGGGGCCCGCACAAGCGGUGGAGCAUGUGGUUUAAUUGGAAGCAACGGGAAGACCCUUACCAGUUCUUGACAUCCUUUGACCAUUUUAGAGAUAGAGCUUCCCCUUCGGGGGCAAAGUGACAGGUGGUGCAUGGUGGUCGUCAGCUCGUGUCGUGAGAUGUUGGGUUAAGUCCCGCAACGAGCGCAACCCUUAUUGUUAGUUGCCAUCAUUUAGUUGGCCAUUCUAGCGAGACUGCCGGUGCCAAACCGGAGGAAGGUGGGGAGGACGUCAAAUCUUCAUGCCCCUUAUGCCCUGGGCUCCACACGUGUUCCAAUGGGAAGUCCAACGAGUUGGGAAGUCGGGAGGUUAAGUUAAUUUCUUAAAGCUUUUCUCAGUUCGGAUUGUAGGCUGCAAUUCGCCUCCAGGAAGCCGGAAUCGUUGGUAAUCGCGGAUCACCACGCCGCGGGGAAUACGUUCCCGGCCCUGGUCCACACCGCCCGUCCCACCACGAGAGUUGGUACCACCCGAAGUCGGUGAGGUAACCUUUUGGAGCCAGCCGCCUAAGGUGGGAUAGAUGAUGGGGGA
rnacentral:rRNA from 1 species